rnacentral:rRNA from 1 species
CACGUAGGGGGCGAGCGUUGUCCGGAUUUAUUGGGCGUAAAGAGCUCGUAGGCGGUUCGGCAAGUCGGGUGUGAAAUUUCGAGGCUCAACCUCGAAACGCCACUCGAUACUGCUGUGACUGGAGUCCGGUAGAGGAGUGCGGAAUUCCUGGUGUAGCGGUGAAAUGCGCAGAUAUCAGGAGGAACACCAAUGGCGAAGGCAGCUCGCUGGGACGGUACUGACGCUGAGACGCGAAAGCGUGGGGAGCAAACAGG